CGUGCGCCGUCGCCGAAUCCCGUACGCACAGCAGCACCAGCAGCAGAGCGACAACAGCAGCACCAAGGGAACCGGGGAACCACCAACCUUGGGGUGAAUCGGGUCGAACCUGACCCGUAGGAGACCUUCCUGCUCCGAACCCGUCAGCUAACCCGGUAGGCGAGAGGGAAGGAAAGG
rnacentral:sRNA from 2 species